GAGGAAUGCAGCCAUUGGCAGACUGUGAUGAGGCAGGGAGGAAGUGGGAAUGGGCUGGGGGAGACAAAUGCUCUGACGAUACCCUCCUGGAGCCUUCUCAUCUUCUGCUGGCCCUGCAUCGAUUGGACACAAUCAAAGCCAGAGAUUAAGGUCAGCCUUCCAGACACAGAACACAGCAGAGAAGGGCAGAGAAUGGAUCUGGGUUCGGGGAGUACAGUGUCCAGCGCAUAGUAGGUGCUCAAUAAAUGCUUGCUAAAGUGCAUUGAGCUGACUUGGGAAUGGCUCACACAAAGACAAAAGGCAUGUUCUACCAUGGCACUUAGCUGCAAGGUGGGGAGCUGCAUAUGUACAUCCUGAGCUGCUUUGCCACUGCUGUGAAAGCAGAGAAGGGUUGAGUCCCUGGAAAAGGAAUUUGGGUAAGUGCAUGGGAGGAUGGGAGGAAGCAGAGAGAUGCCCGUGAGUGAGAAUGAAAUGUUCCAGGGGAUGCCUGGCAUGUGACGAUGCUACAGAUUGAAUGCAGAAGCAGGCACGAGAACCCAAGUCUUCUUCGAAGCUAGUCAUCAAAGAAGUCUGCAAGAAUGGAAAACAGUGCCACUCUUCUCACUAUUUUUUUUGGAAAAUAGUUAUUUUAUGUAAAAAUAGAUAUUUAUGUUAAUAUGCAAUGAGUUUAUUAGUUACUUUAAAGAUGAAUUAGUGUGUACACUUGUAGAGAUUUCUCAAUUUUAAUUUCUGAUAUGGCAAGUAUUGACAGAUGUUACCUACAUAAACAAGAGCUCUUUGGGGUCCUCACUCAUUUUUAAGACCGUGAAGUCAUCCCGGGAUUAAACGUUUGAGAAUCACUCACUGCCUUAGGGUAAUGUUAAGUCCCUGGCAAUGAACGGGGGAAGGGAAUUUACCUUUUUUCUGCUUGCAUCUUCGUUUUAAUACUGAAGUUAUAUUGAAUGAAUGAUAGUACUUCUCAUCCUGUGGAGAUAGCCCCAUGGAGACAGGAGAAUGUGCAGCGAAUAGUGGAAAGAUCAUGCAUGAAAUUUAGUCAGACAGUCCUGUCUUUAACUUAAAGUUCCUCUGGGCAAGUGAUUGUGAUCAAAUUACUUGCUAUUUCUGAACUGCAAUUUCUCAUUGGUAAAAUGUAGAUGGUAACAGCUACCCAACUCACUGAAAUUUUGUGGAGAUUAAAUGAUGUGUUUGCGAAACCAUCAAACCUGUUGCCAGGUACGUAACAGGUGCUCCAUAAAUAUUAGCCUCCCUUCCUCCCUCUCAGGGUGCUCCAAGCGCAGUCCUUUUAGAGUCACCAAUAGGAAUUCUUGUCUGAAGUGGUUCACAAACAUAGUUCAACCUGGUCUCUGGCC
rnacentral:lncRNA from 1 species